rnacentral:rRNA from 1 species
AUGUCGAGCGUAUACGCUUGCAUGUUGUUCUUAUUCUUUGUCGUGCUAAAUCCGGUGAGCCUCGCCGCCGGCACCACCAACAGCAGCGGUGCGGCUGGAUUCAGCCUGCCCCUCGUGCCCCACUACCGCACUGAAGCUGGCAUACUCGAGGAGCUCCUGCCGGAAGGUGAUGCCGAGGGCGGCGUGAACAUCACGUCCAUACGCCCCAAGAUGAUCCCAUUGACGGGGCCUGUCUACAGCGUCCACGUCGGCGUCGGCAGCGGCGAAACCCAGCACUUCUACAAAAGCUCGCGCUGGACCUCGUCCGCCCCCUGA